CGGCAUUAUUGGAGUGAAAACCUUUUCCAGUGCUUCAAUUGCAGCCUCUGCCUCAAUGGGACUGUGCACCUCUCCUGCCAGGAGAAACAGAACACCGUGUGCACCUGCCAUGCAGGGUUCUUUCUAAGAGAAAAUGAGUGUGUCUCCUGUAGUAACUGUAAGAAAAGCCUGGAGUGCACAAAGUUGUGCCUACCCCAGAUUGAGAAUGUUAAGGGCACUGAGGACUCAGGCACCACAGUGCUGUUGCCCCUGGUCAUCUUCUUUGGUCUUUGCCUUUUAUCUCUCCUCUUCAUUGGUUUAAUGUAUCGUUACCAACGGUGGAAGUCCAAGCUCUACUCCAUUGUUUGUGGGAAAUCGACACCUGAAAAAGAGAGAGGUGGCACCACCCUACCAGGGGGCUGACC
rnacentral:sRNA from 1 species